AGUUAGUUUGAAGCAGGCACAAAUAAUGGUGUUGCAUUGAGGGUGAAUGCAGUAGCCCUGUGAAAGGUUGAUGGCAGUGUAUGGAUGUCAGGCUACAGAAAACUACAUAGAUUGAAGUCUUGGCUGAUUAUGGCUCAAGUCAUAAAGUUCUGGCUUCACAGACCAGAAGAUGGGUGAUGUAGAUGAAGUCUUCAAGUCGAGCACUGACAGUCUCACUCAACAGAUGGUAUUUGUACUGGC